CAUGGAGGGUGAGAAUCCCGUCUUUGACUCAGUGCGUGCUACUAUGUGAUACGUUUUCAAAGAGUCGAGUUGUUUGGGAAUGCAGCUCAAAAUGGGUGGUAAAUUUCAUCUAAAGCUAAAUAUUGGCGAGAGACCGAUAGCGAACAAGUACCGUGAGGGAAAGAUGAAAAGAACUUUGAAAAGAGAGUUAAACAGUGCGUGAAAUUGUUGAAAGGGAAACGAUUGAAGCCAGUCGUACCGGCGGAUAAUCAGCCUUUCGAGUGCGAUUCUGUGGAGCGUGAGGAGCUUAAUCGCCUUCACGUCUUGCAUAUUCGUGCACUUUUGGUGUACUUGUCCGUGUGGUGAGUUAACAUCAAUUCCGGUCGUCAUAAAAUGAUUGGAGGAAUGUAGCUUCGAUCUCGUAUCGAAGUGUUAUAGACUCUGGUAGAUGUGACGAUUGGGAUUGAGGAUUGCAACGGAUACCUUUCGGGGCUACCCGUCUGAUCUCUGAAGGUUGCUCCGGUGCCGAAAGCGCGCUUAUGGUCAUCGAAAGUGAUCGUCAAAAGGUUAGAACGGGUUAAAUUCGUUAAGGAUGUUGACGUAAUGG
rnacentral:rRNA from 1 species